rnacentral:rRNA from 1 species
GGCCCUUUGUUAUUAUAAGCUAGAUAGAGGGUUGGCCCUGCCCGGUGGCGAAAGCUAAACGGCCGCAGUUAAUAGCUGUGUUAAUGUAGCGCAAUAACUCGUCCUUUAAUUGAGGAAGGGAAUGAAUGGGUUGACGUUGGAGAAGCUGUCUCCGCUAUAUAGGCAAAAUUAUCUUUAUAGUGAACAGACUAUGAUUUAAUCAAAAGACGAGAAGACCCUGUCGAGCUUGGAUAAUUAUUCAGGUUAGGUACGGUUUAGCAAGGUUUACUGGGAGAGUAGGGAGGUAGAAGAAAUCCUUUCUUAAUUGAAUGGAUCUUUUAUAUAGAAAUCAAAGGAAAAAGCUACCGCAGGGAUAACAGCGUAAUUCCUCUAGUGAGGGCAUAUCGAUGGAGGAGUUUGCGACCUCGAUGUUGGAUUUGGGUUCCUAUUUUGGUGCAGAAGCUAGAUAAGUGGGUCUGUUCGACCUUUGAAGCUCA